AGCGAACGCUGGCGGCAGGCUUAACACAUGCAAGUCGAGCGCCCGUAGCAAUACGGGAGCGGCAGACGGGAGAGUAACACGUGGGAACGUGCCUUUUGGUUCGGAACAACCCAGGGAAACUUGGGCUAAUACCGGAUAAGCCCUUACGGGGAAAGAUUUAUCGCCAAAAGAUCGGCCCGCGUCUGAUUAGCUAGUUGGUGAGGUAACGGCUCACCAAGGCUACGAUCAGUAGCUGGUCUGAGAGGAUGAAUCAGCCUCACUGGGACUGAGACACGGCCCAGACUCCUACGGGAGGCAGCAGUGGGAAUAUUGGACAAUGGGCGCAAGCCUGAUCCAGCC
rnacentral:rRNA from 1 species